UCAGUAGAGAACAUAUCUCCACCACUGCAAAUCCCUCAAUACACAUGUUACGUUUUAAACACAGAAUCCAAGCAACAUAUAGUAUUGAAACAUUGUAUUUUCAACUAAUGAUAAGUACUGUAAAAAUGUGACAACUCACCUACUUUCUAACCACCACCUACUUAUAGUUGACAAAAAAUACAUGCCAAGUACUGGUGUUGAAAUGGAAAUAUUAUGCAAAUAGUCAAAUUAGUAAAAAAAUAUGGGGUAUUGCUUUUUGGUGUCACAUGUUUAAAUAUAAAUUUGCAUUAAAAAUAUUCCCAAUUAGUUCCCAAAAAAGUGAAGUUAGAACAUACACUGUAAAACACUGUACACAUUUACUGUAAUUGCACUAAUGUGAAUAUUCAUCAUAUAGCUAUUGUGUCUACCUAUUGUGGAAAGUUUCAUUUUGAUCCAUUUUAGAGAGAUUUAGGUCUUGGACCUAAUAACCCUCAAAUUCACACCCGAAUUUGGAUCAUCACCAACCUUUGAUAAGUUCUUCCUUAUAACUUGGUUAAAUUUUCACGAAGGUUUCAUUCAGUUUUUGAAAUAUCUGGUCUAGGACAAUUUGUUUAAACGGUCCUCAUAUCCACGCCCUAAUCCUACUCACCAAAAUGUAAUCAUUUCUUCAUUGGGUCAUACCUAACACUCCUUGUAACUUUCAUUUAGAUCUGUGCAGCCAUUUUUGAGCUAUUUUGAAUGCACACACACACACAAAAACAGAAAAAGGUGACAGGCACACACACACAAACUUACACGACUAAAAAAACUUAUCUCCUCGUGGAGAUAAUAAUAAUACUUGUAUAAUUUGUGUCCUUCCUUGUAACUCCUUCCUCUUUUCAUUGUUGUAUAGCUCACUGUGGCUUUUUUUUUUUAUCGAAUGAGAUAUAUAAGAAUGGCAUAAUUAUAAUUAUUAUACAGCAGCCAAAACAUUGAAGUAAAUAUCACAUAUUUUGGCUUAAUUAAGAAAUUAUUCUAAACAUGUAAUUGCUAUUAUUGUUGUUAUCAGUAUUAUAUUGUUAUUGAUAACAAAUAGUUUUACAAAAUAAGUAAUUUAUUUGAGUAUUGUCUAUAGAGUUUAAAACAAUCUUUUUUUUUUGUAUUAUAAAUGAGUUUGUUGUGGUACGAAUAGAUGAGACACUCUUUUUUUUAUAUUAUUUUUUCACUGUAGGAAAGGCAAAAGUGGAAAUAUUUGAAAGAGACCAAAGAAUUACAGCACAGCAGUGGACUUUGUUUAGAUACUUCAGAGAAAGCUCACGAUGAACCAAGCGUGAAACCCUGUAAUGGUCACAAGUCACAGCAAUGGGAAAUGAUAAACAUGCAGCUAUUAGAUUGAGGGCAGCCUACUUUUUUUAUAAUCAGGAGUCAAACAACAAAAAAGGAAUGCCUUUGGGCAAUGUGUCAUACAUUUUACAACUUACAAAGGAACCAUUGUAGAGUUUAAUGGUGGUUUGUCUUUGAACACUGAUCUUCCAUUAACUAAAGGGCAUAAGACUUGAUGGUGGUUUAUAACCAACUGAUAUGGUUUCUUGCCUUGAAUUAAGAACAGAUGAGAACCCUAAGCUUGUUAAUUAAAUUAAUUUUGCAUAAUUUAUGAUAAUUUAUUAAAAAUGAUUGAUUAAAAAAAAAUUACAUAAUUUGGAUUGACUUUGAAAGACAUUUUUAAAUUAUUGAUGAAAUUAAAAAGUUAUCAAUUGUUUGAACGUACGAUCUGCAUGCAGUCCAUGGUAUAUCAAGCAAGUCCUAAUUUAUCCCAGGCCAAUGUAAUUUAAAAAACAUAUCAAAAUCCAGGUUGAUAAUAAAUUGAAUUCAUUCCUCGGUCAAACCUCCUAUUUGGAUGUUAACGAUGGAACCCAGUUACAACAUUUUAAGUAUCAUUUUAAUUUUAUUGUGAAUACAAAAAAUAUACUUGACCAGCAUGUAUUAUAUACGGACCUAAGCCUUUGGACAUUUAUAUCUUUGGUUUUAUUAUUGAACUUAAGUUAGGCCUAAUAAUAUUAUUAGUCAGACCAGAACUGACCAACACUUAUUGUACUGUAGUUAUGGAGAGUGGUGGUGUCACAUAUUCAGACGUGGGGUCCAAAGUACCUGACAGUGUCCACACCCACUUCAGCCCCACCAUGUUUAGAGCAAUUAAGAAUAUGCACUUGCUUUCUGUAAAGCAGUGUUCCCGGACUAAAUGAUUGGCUUUGUCCCCAAUAUGGGUGCUGUGUGCCCUCCUCGACCCCUGCUGGUGCCCCACUGGCUACCAACAAAAUGCUAACUGAGAAACUGAUGUGGAAGAGGCAGAUAAAUAUAUAGGUGAUAGUGCUGCAUUCCUAUGUGUCUGUUGAUGUGAUCUUCAAUCUAUUAACACUAAGCAUAGGUCCCAAAGGUGGUGUUGAAUUAGCAAACUGUGGGGCGAAGUGUAGGAUGUGGUCUCCAUUUUACCUUUCAAUCAGUGAUUGGUUUAAAUUAAGAGGAAUGCCUCUGUGUUAGUAUUAUAUGUAUAUACAGUAGGCUACAUUCAUUUUUCUUGUGGUAGACAUGCCUGGCUAGCAUUUCGUAAUUUCACACUAUUCAGAAUAUAUUUUCAACCGGACAAAGAAAAAGAAAAAAUAUUAAUCAUGUUAUUGUUGAAGCUGAGUGUUUGGCUGAGAUGGAAUGUUCCUGCUUCUUGUACUGCAGGUUGUAAUCCUGGUUUUAAUUGGGAGUGGAUUGCUCGACUAGAAUAGUUCUCUCAUGAGCCACUACGAGUACCCAAACAAAUUCAAUAAUUUCAAAUUUGGAAUAAUGACAUAUUAAAAAAAAAAAAAAAAAAAAUUUAAUUAAAAAAAAAAUAAUGAAAUGUAGCCUGCUGCUACAGGAAGGUAUCAGGUAACAUUAGUGAUUGAGGUUUUUGGGUUUAGAAGGAUGGUUGGUUUGGAUAGAGGUAUCCCAUGAUGCUCGGUGCAUUAACACAUUCUUAACUGAUAAGAAUGUCCAGUGGUGAGCAUCAUUCCUUAAUAAUAUUCUUAUAAAUAUAUAGCAAAAAAUUUUGAUACAAAGAAAUGGGAACUUAAUGUUAUAUUUGUAUUUGUGAGCCAUGUGAACCUAUUACAUCAUUGUCUUAUUUUAAUAUGUUCAUAAGCUUUAAUAAGUUGCUUGGUGUAA
rnacentral:lncRNA from 1 species